rnacentral:rRNA from 1 species
GAUGAACGCUGGCGGCGUGCCUAAUACAUGCCAGUCGAGCGAACAGACGAGGAGCUUGCUCCUCUGACGUUAGCGGCGGACGAGUGAGUAACACGUGGAUAACCUACCUAUAAGACUGGGAUAACUUCGGGAAACCGGAGCUAAUACCGGAUAAUAUAUUGAACCGCAUGGUUCAAUAGUGAAAGACGGUUUUGCUGUCACUUAUAGAUGGAUCCGCGCCGCAUUAGCUAGUUGGUAAGGUAACGGCUUACCAAGGCAACGAUGCGUAGCCGACCUGAGAGGGUGAUCGGCCACACUGGAACUGAGACACGGUCCAGACUCCUACGGGAGGCAGCAGUAGGGAAUCUUCCGCAAUGGGCGAAAGCCUGACGGAGCAACGCCGCGUGAGUGAUGAAGGUCUUCGGAUCGUAAAACUCUGUUAUUAGGGAAGAACAAAUGUGUAAGUAACUAUGCACGUCUUGUCGGUACCUAAUCAGAAAGCCACGGCUAACUACGUG